GACGAACGCUGGCGGCGUGCUUAAUACAUGCAAGUCGAACGGAAAGGCCCUGCUUUUGUGGGGUGCUCGAGUGGCGAAAGGGUGAGUAACACGUAUGUAACCUGCCCUUGACAUUGGGAUAACUUCAGGAAACUGGGGCUAAUACUCGAUAGGAGCACCAGCUGCAUGGUGGGGGUUGUAAAGCUUCGGCGGUUGGGGAAGGAGCCGGGGCUUAGUAACUUGGUGGUCGGGUAGGGGCUUCCCAAGGCCUUGCAGGGUAGCCGGCCUGAGAGGGUGACCUGCGACAAUGGGACGGGGAUAACGCCCAGCAUCCGACGGGAGGAAGCGGUGGGGGAGAAUGCACAAUGGCAGGAAGCCUGAUGCAGCAAAGCAGGGUUCCGGAUGACGACCUUCGGGUUGUAAACCGCUUUCGCAUGUGACGAAGCGUAAGUGACGGUAAUAGGUAAAGAAGCAACGGCUAACUACGUG
rnacentral:rRNA from 1 species